CCACCCCUUUUAGUAUAAAAGGAGCCUGAAUUCUGACUUGGGUAAGAUGGCUUUCUAGGAUAGCAAACCUGCGUCUUCUUGGUCUGCCGGCUUUCUGAAUAAAGUUGUUAUUCCUUGCCCUAGCACCUCAUCUUCUGAUUUAGUGGCCUGUCUUGCAGUGAGCAGAGUUAGUUUGGACAAAUUUUGGUGAAGCUGCUCAUGACCAGCUGGCCCCAGUCAAGGAAUUUUCAGGUAAGGCCCUAGCAGCUGCUGGAAUCACUUGUCCAGAGGAUCUUCCAUUCAAAAUUCCCCGAAGUGGCACCGCUUCCCAGCACCUGGCAGCUGGAGCAGGAAUCACUAUCUGGGAGCUGACGGGCUCCAUGCAGUAGGCAGGUCUGCCUGUCCUUUCCGACCUGGAGACCGAGUCCUCCUCAAAACCUGGAGAGAACGAGAGCCUGAACGUCUGCGGGCUGCGAGGAGGACGGGCCCCCACGUGGCAGCACCACACACCCAUCUGUCAAGCUAGCCGGGGUAAAGCCGUGGGUUCAUCACACUCGGAUUAAAGCAGCACCACCAUCUGGUUCAGCAGAACCAGAAAACGGCCCAACUCUGAAAAAGUACAUUAUGAGUUGUUUUUGGGAUUCCAACCAGACAAGUUUGAAGAUGGCAUCAUGAUGCUGGGAAAUACAUUCUCUAAGGGGAUCAACUGGAUAUAAAAAGAUGAGAAUCACUGUGCAUAUUGAGUCACUGAGCAUGAACUAAAAUUACAGCUGCUUAAUGAAUAAUUCGACUUGUAUCUCUCUAAUCCAGUGCAUUCGAACCCAGGUGUUUUCUGUAUUUUGAAGCCCUCAGGACUCACCUAUACCCAGGGUUACAGCAUGUUUCUUAGGGUGGCUGCUUCUGACCAUGGUAGAAACAUCUCUGGGGUCAUUUUCUUUCUCUGACUUCUAUUUUACUAGAUUAAAUACCUGGAUUCUUCUUUUGCUCCUCAGCCUUGAAGUUUACUAUGCCAUGUGGAAGGUGUGCGCCUGAUUGUUUCAUUUUGCUUUGAUCUGAGAUGCAGCCUCUCCCAGCCUUAUACAGUGUAGCUCAUGGUCUGGUACAUCAGAAUGCCCCACCCCACAGAUGCUCGAGCCCCGCAGACCUCUGGCAACCCCAAGUUGGGGGGCCAGGAAUUGACUUGAGAAGGCAUCACUUUGUAAGUCUAGCCGUGUGUGCAAUGUUGAGGUUGGUCUGCCAGAGGGAAACAGUUCCACUCGGAUGAACCAGGCAAAGGAAACCUUGACUAGAUUUACUGGGAGAAACCUGCCAGUUGUUGGAGGGUUGAGCAUUGUCCUGGAACCCUGACUGUGGAGUGGAGGGCAUUUUCAGGCAGAGAGAACCACAUUUGAGAACACAACCACAUUCCACAGAGGAGUACCACUGCUUGAUCGGGCACCUACAAGCAUGUCAGCAUGGUGGUGCAGUGGGUUUAUGCAUUGACAGUCAGGAGGAGCCAGAAAGAAAAGAUUAGAAAAAUAGUAGCAGAUGAUGCGUGAUCUAAGCUGUGCGGGGGGAUGUGACUUGAUCUUGUACAUGUUGGGAAUACUUUGUAUAAGGGUAACAGGAUCAGAAUCAACUAUAUUUCCUGGUAAAAUUGGUGGAGCCUCGUAUGAUGAAUCAUCCAGAGAUUUCGCAGAUAAAGAUACUUUACAGGAAUGUAAGUGUCACAGAUUCAAAGCAACUAGUCCUCUCCACUCCAUAUCCCACCAACAAUGG